AGCAUCAUUCCUUCACUACCAGUACCAACAAGCAACGAGCAGAAGCUAGCUCAAUUUUGUUUUGUAGCAGUUCUUACAUUUUCUCCUAACUUUGAGAGCAUGGGUAACUUCUAUUUUCUGGCGGGCUCCCCUUCUGAUGCUAAUACGUUAAAUGGGUUUGUUGCCGAUGCCAGAAGAAUAGAGGCUCCCCAUGUUCUCACCGUUAGCAGAAAACGGGGUGUCAUAUCACCCGUUCUUAUCUGGAUAAGACCACCAGGAACCAUUAUCAAGUUUGCCAGCACCCCCAUCACUUAUUCACUCUAGUAUCCGGUAUGGUGAGAUUAAUAUAUAGAUGAUAGAUUUAUAUACCUUCUCGGGAAUUAUAUAUUUUAUAUUGCAUAUUAAGGUAAGGAUAAGGAUGUGUGUGUGUAUAUAUAUACUGUUUUCGUUAGGUGAUGAUAACGGAUGCAGAACUUCUGUUUACAAAAGUUUUGUUUGAAACUGAUUGCAUUCGCCUUAAGCAGGCCUGGGAUCGUUCUAUUGGAGGGGAUUAUAGCUAUUUUGGAGGAUUAGUUUCUGACUACAGAACGAAAUCUCGAAGUUUUGCAGCUUGUAGGCUCUGUCAUGUUAAAAGAGGAAGCAAUAUGGAAGCUGAUAGUCUUUUUAAGUUAGCUUAUAAUUUUGAUGUGAGUAAUACUGGUUGGAGGAACAUCCUCACCAGAUUUCUGCUCUCCUUAUCUGAUGUAUUCUUUGUUUCCACGUGAUUGGUAGUAAUAAAUAUCAGAUUCUCUUAAAAAAAGGAUAAGAAUGUAUAAGUGUUAUACGAUUUUAUUAUUAUUAUUUAUUACUAGAA